UAGCCGUAAACGAUACUCGCUAGGUGUCGGCCACGGUGCGACCGUUGUCGGUGCCGUAGGGAAGCCGUGAAGCGAGCCACCUGGGAAGUACGGCCGCAAGGCUGAAACUUAAAGGAAUUGGCGGGGGAGCACAACAACGGGUGGAGCUUGCGGUUUAAUUGGAUUCAACGCCGGAAAUCUUACCGGGACCGACAGCAACAUGAAGGCCAAGCUGAAGACUUUGCCUGAAUCGCUGAGAGGAGGUGCAUGGCGUAGACGUCU
rnacentral:rRNA from 1 species